CUGGGUUUCUGCCCUGUAGUUCUUAAUGUGGUCCCUGCAUGUAUCCCUGCAUAUUUCUUCUUAUAAUUCCGAUUGUUCUGAGCUUACUUUGGAUUUUGGAGUUUCUUUCACUGCUCUAUUUGUUUUGGACUUAAUCAGCUUCAAUUAAGGUCGCACCUUUUUUCUGUCAAAUUUGUCUUAGAAGUCUGCAUUUGGGUCACCCACUUUCACCCACUUCCACCUUAUGGCACCUGCAGUUUGUGUCAGUUUGCUCACACAGACACUACAAUACAAUGCAUCAUUUCCACACCCUCUGGACUCCAAGUGGACUUGAAAAAAGUGCAGUUGUCCAUAAUGCAUUAAUGGCAAAUGCAGAACAGCUUCCUGCUCGCAGCUCAGGAGCUCAUCCAAGUAGACAUGAUGGGAUCUGCUCUGUCCUACAACAAUGGUGUGCAGUUCAAGCUCCGCUGACGACAUUCGACCCUCCAGUGCGGGCUGCGUGUGAGCCAGGACGAGAGUGACAGGGACUGGUUGAGAAAUGGCAGUCGACACAGGGGUCAUGGAGCCAAAGGGCCAUGAAGAGAGUCGCAGGGAUGACGAAAACACAGCCAGGGUGAUGGAGGAUAACCAGAAGAAAGGGCAACUUCACCAGGUAGCAUGUGGGUCUCUCGCAUGCUCCCAUGCUCCGUCUUCCUAUAUUUCAUUCUUCCACACCUGACUCGGCCUCCCUCUGCCCCCACACCCUUUCUUUUCUGUUCUGCACUUUCUCUCUUCCUUUCUCUCCUUCUCCUUUGCUCGCUCUACUGCUCCGUUGGCUUCGAGCGAUGCUGUCCGUUCCCCCCUCUCACUCUGUGAUGGAGGGAUGGUUUGUGGAGUGAAGGCGCGAUGAAGCGAUGGAGGCCUUCAGCACAAGGAAAAAUUUCCUUCCACUUGCAGCUAUUACGCUCCCUAAAUAUCAGUUUUAAUAAUUAUUAACUGGCUGAAAGUAAGACUUGUAAAAACACAACAGCCACAUUUGUGUUAAAAUAAAGGGCCAGCUAACAUUUUCUCUCAUACCUGUAGCCAUGGAGUUUUAGCUGUGCAGAUCAAUCUGUUGAAUUUUAU
rnacentral:lncRNA from 1 species